GCCUCCGAAAGGGUAUCGGAGGCGCUCAAAGGUUCCCUCAGAAUGGACGGAAACCAUUCGGAGAGCGCAAAGGCAUAAGGGAGCCUGACUGUGACACCGACGGGUGGAGCAGGUACGAAAGUAGGACUUAGUGAUCCGGUGGCAUAAAGUGGGAUUGCCAUCGCUCAAC
rnacentral:ncRNA from 1 species